rnacentral:rRNA from 1 species
GACGAACGCUGGCGGCGUGCUUAAUACAUGCAAGUCGAACGAUGAAGCCUUCGGGUGGAUUAGUGGCGAACGGGUGAGUAACACGUGGGUGAUCUGCCCUGCACUUUGGGAUAAGCCUGGGAAACUGGGUCUAAUACCGAAUAUGAUCAUGCUCUCCAUGGGGUGUGGUGGAAAGCUUUUGCGGUGUGGGAUGGGCCCGCGGCCUAACAGCUUGUUGGUGGGGUAAUGGCCUACCAAGGCGACGACGGGUAGCCGGCCUGAGAGGGUGACCGGCCACACUGGGACGGAGAUACGGCCCAGACUCCUACGGGAGGCAGCAGUGGGGAAUAUUGCACAAUGGGCGCAAGCCUGAUGCAGCGACGCCGCGUGAGGGAUGACGGCCUUCGGGUUGUAAACCUCUUUCAGCAGGGACGAAGCGAAAGUGACGGUACCUGCAGAAGAAGGACCGGCCAACUACGUGCCAGCAGCCGCCGUAA